rnacentral:rRNA from 1 species
GGCUACAGGACGAACGCUGGCGGCAUGCCUAACACAUGCAAGUCGAACGGGGGUAGCAAUACCCUAGUGGCGAACGGGUGAGUAACACAUAAGCAAUCUGCCCUUCACAGGGGGAUAACAGCGGGAAACUGCUGCUAAUACCGCAUAAGACCACAGUACCGCAUGGUACAGGGGUAAAAACGAAUCAGUGGUGAAGGAUGAGCUUAUGUCCCAUUAGCUAGUUGGUGAGAUAACAGCCCACCAAGGCGACGAUGGGUAGCCGACCUGAGAGGGUGAUCGGCCACACUGGAACUGAGACACGGUCCAGACUCCUACGGGAGGCAGCAGUGGGGAAUAUUGGGCAAUGGAGGAAAAACCUCUUACCCAGCAAUGCCGCGUGAGUGAAGAAGGUCUUCGGAUUGUAAAGCUCUUUGAUUGGGGACGAAGAAAGUGACGGUACCCAAAGAACAAGCCCCGGCUAACUACGUGCCAGCAGCCGC